CNUAAUGCAGUCGAGCGGUACAGAAAGUAGCUUGCUACUUUGCUGACGAGCGGCGGACGGGUGAGUAAUGCUUGGGAACAUGCCUUGAGGUGGGGGACAACAGUUGGAAACGACUGCUAAUACCGCAUAAUGUCUACGGACCAAAGGGGGCUUCGGCUCUCGCCUUUAGAUUGGCCCAAGUGGGAUUAGCUAGUUGGUGAGGUAAUGGCUCACCAAGGCGACGAUCCCUAGCUGGUUUGAGAGGAUGAUCAGCCACACUGGGACUGAGACACGGCCCAGACUCCUACGGGAGGCAGCAGUGGGGAAUAUUGCACAAUGGGCGCAAGCCUGAUGCAGCCAUGCCGCGUGUGUGAAGAAGGCCUUCGGGUUGUAAAGCACUUUCAGUCAGGAGGAAAGGUUAACNGUUAAUACCCGUUAGCUGUGACGUUACUGACAGAAGAAGCACCGGCUAACUCCGUGCCAGCAGCCGCGGUAAUACGGAGGGUGCGAGCGUUAAUCGGAAUUACUGGGCGUAAAGCGUACGCAGGCGGUUUGUUAAGCGAGAUGUGAAAGCCCCGGGCUCAACCUGGGAACUGCAUUUCGAACUGGCAAACUAGAGUGUGAUAGAGGGUGGUAGAAUUUCAGGUGUAGCGGUGAAAUGCGUANAGAUCUGAANGAAUACCGAUGGCGAANGCAGCCACCUGGGUCAACACUGACGCUCAUGUACGAAAGCGUGGGGAGCAAACGGGAUUAGAUACCCCGGUAGUCCACGCCGUAAACGA
rnacentral:rRNA from 1 species